rnacentral:rRNA from 1 species
GACGAACGCUGGCGGCGUGCUUAACACAUGCAAGUCGAACGGUGAAGCGCCUUCCUUUUUGGUGGGUGUGGAUGAGUGGCGAACGGGUGAGUAACACGUGAGUAACCUGCCCCCUUCUUCUGGAUAACCGCAUGAAAGUGUGGCUAAUACGGGAUAUUCUGGGUCUGUCGCAUGAUGGGUCUGGGAAAGAUAUUGUUUCGGUGGGGGAUGGGCUCGCGGCCUAUCAGCUUGUUGGUGGGGUGAUGGCCUACCAAGGCGGUGACGGGUAGCCGGCCUGAGAGGGUGGACGGUCACACUGGGACUGAGACACGGCCCAGACUCCGACGGGAGGCAGCAGUGGGGAAUAUUGCACAAUGGGCGCAAGCCUGAUGCAGCGACGCCGCGUGAGGGAUGGAGGCCUGCGGGUUGUGAACCUCUUUCGCCAGUGAAGCAGGCCUGCCUCGUUUGUGGGUGGGUUGACGGUAGCUGGAUAAGAAGCGCCGGCUAACUACGUG